rnacentral:tRNA from 1 species
GCCGUUGUGUCCGAUUGGUUAGGUGCUGGCCUGCAAAGCCGGUUAGUCCGGUUCGAUUCCGGAGGGCGGCUCCA